CUCAACUCCGGGAUUGCCAUUGAAACUGUUUCACUUGAGUGUAGUCGAGGACGGCGGAAUGAGUUAUGUAGCGGUGAAAUGCAUAGAUAUAACUCAGAACACCGAUUGCGAAGGCAGCUGUCUAGGCUACAACUGACGCUGAGGCACGAAAGCGUGGGGAGCGAACAGGAUUAGAUACCCUGGUAGUCCACGCUGUAAACGAUGAUCACUCGUUGCUGGUCACCUAGUGACCAGUGACUGAGGGAAACCAUUAAGUGAUCCACCUGGGGAGUACGUCGGCAACGAUGAAACUCAAAGGAAUUGACGGGGGCCCGCACAAGCGGAGGAACAUGUGGUUUAAUUCGAUGAUACGCGAGGAACCUUACCUGGGCUUAAAUGCAGACUGCAUUGGGGGGAAACUCCCAUUUCCUUCGGGACUG
rnacentral:rRNA from 1 species